UACAGAGGGUGCAAGCGUUAAUCGGAAUUACUGGGCGUAAAGGGCUCGUAGGCGGCCAACUAAGUCAGACGUGAAAUCCCUCGGCUUAACCGGGGAACUGCGUCUGAUACUGGAUGGCUUGAAUCCGGGAGAGGGAUGCGGAAUUCCAGGUGUAGCGGUGAAAUGCGUAGAUAUCUGGAGGAACACCGGUGGCGAAGGCGGCAUCCUGGACCGGCAUUGACGCUGAGGAGCGAAAGCCAGGGGAGCAAACGGG
rnacentral:rRNA from 1 species